CCAGACUCCUACGGGAGGCAGCAGUGGGGAAUAUUGGGCAAUGGGCGCAAGCCUGACCCAGCAACGCCGCGUGAAGGAAGAAGGCUUUCGGGUUGUAAACUUCUUUUCUGGGGGACGAAGAAAGUGACGGUACCCCAGGAAUAAGCCACGGCUAACUACGUGCCAGCAGCCGCGGUAAUACGUAGGUGGCAAGCGUUAUCCGGAUUUAUUGGGUGUAAAGGGCGUGUAGGCGGGAAUGCAAGUCAGAUGUGAAAACUAUGGGCUCAACCCAUAACCUGCAUUUGAAACUGUAGUUCUUGAGUGAUGGAGAGGCAGGCGGAAUUCCGUGUGUAGCGGUGAAAUGCGUAGAUAUACGGAGGAACACCAGUGGCGAAGGCGGCCUGCUGGACUGUAACUGACGUUGAGGCUCGAAAGCGUGGGGAGCAAACAGGAUUAGAUACCCCUGUA
rnacentral:rRNA from 1 species